rnacentral:lncRNA from 1 species
UAGGGCGCUUGGAGGACCUAAAAUGGCGGCUUGCCCGUAGUUUUGUACUUACUGGAGUUGGCAAGGCAGCUAAAGAAUGACUCUGCCAAGGAAAGUGGAAGAAACUCGCCGCUUUAUAUGUUGUGG